UACGGAAGGCAGCAGUGGGGAAUAUUGGACAAUGGGCGAAAGCCUGAUCCAGCCAUGCCGCAUGAGUGAAGAAGGCCUUCGGGUUGUAAAGCUCUUUUAGUGAGAAAGAUAAUGACGGUACUCACAGAAGAAGUCCUGGCUAACUCCGUGCCAGCAGCCGCGGUAAUACGGAGAGGGCUAGCGUUAUUCGGAAUUAUUGGGCGUAAAGAGCGCGUAGGCUGAUUAGUAAGUUAAAAGUGAAAUCCCAAAGCUUAACUUUGGAAUUGCUUUUUAAAACUGCUAGUCUAGAGAUUGAAAGAGGAUAGAGGAAUUCCUAGUGUAGAGGUGAAAUUCGUAAAUAUUAGGAGGAACACCAGUGGCGAAGGCGUCUAUCUGGUUCAAAUCUGACGCUGAGGCGCGAAGGGCGUGGGGAGCGAAACAGGGAUUAGAUACC
rnacentral:rRNA from 1 species